CACGGAGUUAGCCGGUGCUUCCUUUAGGGGUACCGUCAGGGCAGCGACGUAUUAGGUCGCUGCUGGUUCUUCCCCCUCGACAGGGCUUUACGACCCGAAGGCCUUCAUCACCCACGCGGCGUCGCUGCGUCAGGCUUUCGCCCAUUGCGCAAUAUCCCCCACUGCUGCCUCCCGUAGGAGUCUGGGCCGUGUUGCAGUCCCAGUGUGGCUGGCCAUCCUCUCAGACCAGCUAGCCAUCAUAGCCUUGGUAGGCCAUUACCCCACCAACUAGCUAAUGGCGCGCAGGCCCAUCCUCGGGUGACGGCUUACAAGUAGAGGCCGUCUUCACCGCAGAAGCCGAAACUCCCGUGGUCAUAUCCGGUAUUAGCCCGCCUUUCGGCGGGUUAUCCCGGGCUCGAGGGUAGGUUACCUACGUGUUACUCACCCGUGCGCCGCUUUACUCACUCCCGAAGGAGUUUUCUCGCUCGACUUGCAUGUGUUAGGCACGCCGCCAGCGUCGUCUGAGCCAGGAUCAA
rnacentral:rRNA from 1 species